UAGCAUCUGGCGAGAGUGCUGUGGAACUUCGAAAGUUCGGGGCUUCGGGCAUAACAGCUGGUCUGUCUGCUACUGAAUUGUUGGGUUUACGUUAAUGGAAUGUUAAAAUGAAAAGAGUUUUAUAUUUAAUAAAGAAAAUAGAAGAGAAAAUAAACAUUUCUGCUGCGAGUCCGCAUAUCUUGCUGAUCUUCAAAACUGACAUUCGGCUUGGAAGCUUCCAUAUUUUUCGUGCAAAACGCUUUCAGAAUUCCAACAUAUAGGUGAACAUAUAGGUGAAGUGAUGUAAUAUGGCGUCACAUGUCAGAAGCAAGUUGACUUUAAGAAUUACCAUCUGUAUGGUGUGGAUUUUAUUACGACCAAGUGCAACAUGCUAGGGCUACGCAAGACUGUCUGGUUUGCACAGGCAGUACACUGCAGACUAGAAAACUGAACCAUUAACUGCAAAUGAGUCUGUGCAUCUUAAGAAGAAAAAGUUAUCUUUCUAUUUUCUGUGCAUCGUAAGAAGAAAAAGUUAUCUUUCUAUUUUUUGUGCAUCGUAAGAAGAAAAAGUAAUCUUUCUAUUAGGUUUACUUACAAAUGCUGAAUUACAUAAGCUGACCAGCUGGAAAUGUUUUAUCUGCUCAACCUAUGGUAAAAACUGAAUCCUCACAGUCACACCACCUACUCCAUACACUUGACUGUGUGACACCAAUACUUUAAACCAGUUGAAUUCAAUAGUAGUUGAAUGAACAAAACGACUUAUCAAUACUUGAACGGAAUAAAAAAAAAAACGGCAAUUGCACUAAACCCAUAUUGACACGUUCAGGUUUGUGAACUUCACUACCUCUCGCCAUUCCAGCUUUUACUAUGUAUUGAUAGAUGCCGAACACUGUUUACAGAAUAAAGAGCCAAACCCAGAA